UGAUUUUUUUUUUUUGUAUU
rnacentral:miRNA from 1 species